rnacentral:rRNA from 2 species
UACUCUGUCGUGGGGGAUAACGUAGGGAAACUUACGCUAAUACCGCAUACGACCUACGGGUGAAAGCAGGGGACCUUCGGGCCUUGCGCGAUUGAAUGAGCCGAUGUCGGAUUAGCUAGUUGGCGGGGUAAAGGCCCACCAAGGCGACGAUCCGUAGCUGGUCUGAGAGGAUGAUCACCCACACUGGAACUGAGACACGGUCCAAACUCCUACGGGAGGCAGCAGUGGGGAAUAUUGGACAAUGGGCGCAAGCCUGAUCCACCCAUACCGCGUGGGUGAAGAAGGCCUUCGGGUUGUAAAGCCCUUUUGUUGGGAAAGAAAUCCAGCUGGCUAAUACCCGGUUGGGAUGACGGUACCCAAAGAAUAAGCACCGGCUAACUUCGUGCCAGCAGCCGCGGUAAUACGAAGGGUGCAAGCGUUACUCGGAAUUACUGGGCGUAAAGCGUGCGUAGGUGGUC